rnacentral:tRNA from 1 species
GGCAGCAUGGUGUAGUGGUUUGAGUGUUGGACUACCACUCUGGAGACCUGGGUUUGGUUCCCCACUCUGCCA